rnacentral:rRNA from 1 species
CCUACGGGAGGCAGCAGUGAGGAAUAUUGGUCAAUGGGCGAGAGGCUGAACCAGCCAAGUCGCGUGAGGGAUGACGGCACUGCGUAUUGUAAACCUCUUUUGUCGGGGAACAAAGACGGGGACUAGUCCCCGGAUGAGGGUACCCGAAGAAAAAGCAUCGGCUAACUCCGUGCCAGCAGCCGCGGUAAUACGGAGGAUGCGAGCGUUAUCCGGAUUUAUUGGGUUUAAAGGGUGCGCAGGCGGACGGUUAAGUCAGCGGUAAAAUGGCGGGGCGCAACCCCGGCGAGCCGUUGAAACUGGGGGGCUGGAGUGGGAGAGAAGUACGCGGAAUGCGGGGUGUAGCGGUGAAAUGCUUAGAUAUCGCGCAGAACUCCGAUUGCGAAGGCAGCGUACCGGCUCCAAACUGACGCUGAGGCACGAAAGCGUGGGUAUCGAACAGGAUUAGAUACCCUUGUAGUC